ensembl:lncRNA
GGGGGGGGGGGGUAGACAAGGCUCCAUCAGAAACAAAGACCCGGACUGGGGGGGGGGGGGCUCCAGGGUCAUGCAGGCUCCCGGGAAACAGGAGCUUAGUAACAGUCAGGACAGAACAACAUAACCCGGUCAGGUCCACAGAGCGCUCACUCUCUCUCUCUCUCCCUCCCCCUCUCCCUCUCCCUCUCCCUCUCUCUCUCUCUCUCUCUCUCUCUCUCACAAACAGAAUCCAGGACACCAGUGAUGUAAGCACCACAGUCCCAGCGGGCUCACGAGAGACUGUGUGUGUGUGUGUGUGUGUGUGUGUGUGUGUGUGUGUGUGUGUGUGUAUGUGUGGGUGUGUGUGUGUUUAGGAGUGUGUGUGUGUGUGUGUGUGUGUGUGUGUGUGUGUGUGGUUUCUGGACUACGGCCCUGAGUCACAGUGUAAAUAAACGGUGUCAGGUUCAGGGGGGGGAGGGGGAGGAUACAGUGGGGUAAAACUGAUUUGCAUUCAUUCCUUUUUUUUCUCUCCCACCUCAGGCGGUUAAACUGAGCUCCGGCAGCGUGGGGGCGAAUUAAAUCCGAUUCAUUGUCGUUUAUUAAAACGCUGUUUCUUCUUUCCCUUGACACACUUUCCCCGUGUGCCGCGCGUUUAACACCCCUGAGCGCUCACGAGGUCCCGGGCAGCGGCGCUUUGGUUCAGCAGCGAGCAGACAGAAGCGUAGGUAGGAUAGAACGGUCCGUCAGAACCAGUCACAUGUUAAAAACAAACACACACAGAAACACGCACAUCGCCCUUUUUUUUUCUCCCCACGUUCUCCAUAAAUAAUUCCCUCUCCCGUACCGGGAUAAACGGGGCUAAUUCGGGAUGAGGGCCUUCCCGGAUCGUUCCCGGAUCGGCCCCGUAAGCCCCGACUUACAGGGAGCGUCACAAAGUGAAUCACUAUUUAGUGUCCUCUGAGGAGAGGGGGCCCCGAGGGAGGAGCUGGUGUGGGGGGGGGAGGGCCCCAGUGGGACCAGGGGCCACAAUGGGAACCACAGUGGGACCAGGGGCCACAACGGGAACCACAGUGGGAACCAGGGGCCACAAUGGGAACCAGGGGCCACAAUGGAAGCCACAGUGGGAACCAGGGGCCACAAUGGGAACCACAGUGGGAACCAGGGGCCACAAUGGGAACCACAGUGGGAACCAGGGGCCCAAGGGGGAAGCAGGGGCCCCCAUUGGGACCCAGGCUGCGGUGUCUCUCAGGGCUACUGGGUGCUGAGAGGCACAGGGGUGACUACCAAAGGCCCCCCCCCCCCAUGUC